rnacentral:rRNA from 1 species
AAAGGGUGAUAGCCCCGUACACUAAAAUGCACAGGUCGUGAGUUCGAUGAGUAGGGCGGGACACGUGACAUCCUGUCUGAAUAUGGGGGGACCAUCCUCCAAGGCUAAAUACUCCUGACUGACCGAUAGUGAACCAGUACCGUGAGGGAAAGGCGAAAAGAACCCCGGCGAGGGGAGUGAAAUAGAACCUGAAACCGUGUACGUACAAGCAGUGGGAGCACCUUCGUGGUGUGACUGCGUACCUUUUGUAUAAUGGGUCAGCGACUUAUAUUUUGUAGCAAGGUUAACCGUAUAGGGGAGCCGUAGGGAAACCGAGUCUUAACUGGGCGACUAGUUGCAAGGUAUAGACCCGAAACCCGGUGAUCUAGCCAUGGGCAGGUUGAAGGUUGGGUAACACUAACUGGAGGACCGAACCGACUAAUGUUGAAAAAUUAGCGGAUGACUUGUGGCUGGGGGUGAAAGGCCAAUCAAACCGGGAGAUAGCUGGUUCUCCCCGAAAGCUAUUUAGGUAGCGCCUCGUGAACUCAUCUUCGGGGGUAGAGCACUGUUUCGGCUAGGGGGCCAUCCCGGCUUACCAAACCGAUGCAAACUCCGAAUACCGAAGAAUGUUAUCACGGGAGACACACGGCGGGUGCUAACGUCCGUCGUGAAGAGGGAAACAACCCAGACCGCCAGCUAAGGUCCCAAAGUCAUGGUUAAGUGGGAAACGAUGUGGGAAGGCAUAGACAGCCAGGAUGUUGGCUUAGAAGCAGCCAUCAUUUAAAGAAAGCGUAAUAGCUCACUGGUCGAGUCGGCCUGCGCGGAAGAUGUAACGGGGCUAAACCAUGCACCGAAGCUGCGGCAGCGACGCUUAGGCGUUGUUGGGUAGGGGAGCGUUCUGUAAGCCGUUGAAGGUGGCCUGUGAGGGUUGCUGGAGGUAUCAGAAGUGCGAAUGCUGACAUAAGUAACGAUAAAGCGGGUGAAAAGCCCGCUCGCCGGAAGACCAAGGGUUCCUGUCCAACGUUAAUCGGGGCAGGGUGAGUCGACCCCUAAGGCGAGGCUGAAAAGCGUAGUCGAUGGGAAACAGGUUAAUAUUCCUGUACUUGGUGUUACUGCGAAGGGGGGACGGAGAAGGCUAGGCUAGCCGGGCGACGGUUGUCCCGGUUUAAGCGUGUAGGGGGUGUGACCUGGUAAAUCCGGUUGCAUACUACCCUGAGGCGUGAUGACGAUGCACUACGGUGCAGAAGUAGUUGAUGCCCUGCUUCCAGGAAAAUCCUCUAAGCUCCAGGUAACAUUAAAUCGUACCCCAAACCGACACAGGUGGUCAGGUAGAGAAUACCAAGGCGCUUGAGAGAACUCGGGUGAAGGAACUAGGCAAAAUGGUGCCGUAACUUCGGGAGAAGGCACGCUGGCAUGUAGGUGAAGUCCCUCGCGGAUGGAGCUGAAGCCAGUCGAAGAUACCAGCUGGCUGCAACUGUUUAAUAAAAACACAGCACUGUGCAAACACGAAAGUGGACGUAUACGGUGUGACGCCUGCCCGGUGCUGGAAGGUUAAUUGAUGGGGUCAGCCGCAAGGCGAAGCUCUUGAUCGAAGCCCCAGUAAACGGCGGCCGUAACUAUAACGGUCCUAAGGUAGCGAAAUUCCUUGUCGGGUAAGUUCCGACCUGCACGAAUGGCGUAAUGAUGGCCAGGCUGUCUCCACCCGAGACUCAGUGAAAUUGAACUCGCUGUGAAGAUGCAGUGUACCCGCGGCAAGACGGAAAGACCCCGUGAACCUUUACUAUAGCUUGACACUGAACAUUGAGCCUUGAUGUGUAGGAUAGGUGGGAGGCUUUGAAGCGUGGACGCCAGUCUGCGUGGAGCCAUCCUUGAAAUACCACCCUUUAAUGUUUGAUGUUCUAACUCGGCCCCGUAAUCCGGGGUGAGGACAGUGUCUGG